rnacentral:lncRNA from 10 species
GAUAUCCAAGUGGUCCCUUUGAAUGGAUCUGCUGUGACAGAUAUUCCAUGAGCAUAAACAUAGACAAAACAGAAUCUCAUUACACUUGUUACUCUCUGCCUUCUCCAUUCAAUCUCAUGUCAAGGAAAUGGAAAAGAGACUCAGGAAAAACACACAUUGCAAAAUAAGAAUCCUUCAAAGACAACUUGAGGACAUCUGGGAAUUCUGAAGGCUGAAAAUUCCAUGAGUUCAUAGCAGUAUUCACUAAUUCCACUGAUCUAAAGACAAAAAGGAGGGUCAACUGCAUGCCCAAACUCAUUUCUGAUGAUUUCUUCCAUCCUACCUUUUCUGCCUCUCUGGGGGUGGUUAUGCCUGUGAAAAACAUCGAAGCUGUCAGGAACACAGUCGGCUUUCAAGACUGGAAUGUCAAAGUAGAGUCUUCUUUUCCUCAGACCAGAAGAGUUUCCAGAUCUAAACAAAGACAGGACUGGGAUAUAGGAGGCUGUACACAUAAACAGCACAAACACCUUGGCUUACCUCUACAUGAGGGGCUAGACCCUGGAGUGUCCCUUCAACCUCAAUUGACCUGUGAUAUGGCUCAUGAUAUGGCUCAUUCGUUAUGUUCCAGUUUCCAGGCUAAUUCUAUAUUCAGAAGCCUAGUGAAUGAGUCGAUGCGAUGA